rnacentral:rRNA from 1 species
GCGGGCGCAUGCUAUACAUGCAAGUCGAGCGGACAGAUGGGAGCUUGCUCCCUGAAGUCAGCGGCGGACGGGUGAGUAACACGUGGGCAACCUGCCUGUAAGACUGGGAUAACUCCGGGAAACCGGGGCUAAUACCGGAUAAUUCUUUCCCUCACAUGAGGGAAAGCUGAAAGAUGGUUUCGGCUAUCACUUACAGAUGGGCCCGCGGCGCAUUAGCUAGUUGGUGAGGUAACGGCUCACCAAGGCAACGAUGCGUAGCC